AGCGCUACAGACCAAAGCCAAGCGGCGGCCAAGCCACCAAUCGCGAGCGCCCAUCUUCACGAGCUCCGCUCCACUCCCAACUUCCAAUCAACCGCUUUCGUCCCCUUCCUUCCAAGCUACGGUAUACGCAGUUCAGUCCAUCGUCCCGUAACCCGCGUACCCACCGCUGCUUCUGCUCCCCCAUGGCGAAGACCACGCAACCCACCGCGGGGGCGCGGGAUCCCCUGCUCCCCACCUCUGGCGCCGCCGUCGCCUCCCCGCCGCCCUACCUCGACCCGCACCCGGCCGACUCCUACACGGUCCUCCUCGUCCCCGUCCGCCUCCGCCACCGCCUGCGCCGCGGCAGCGGCCGCUGCUGCGGCGUCGGCCCCUGCCUCACCGCGCUCUUCCUCCUCCUCGCGCUCGCGGGCUUCCUCCUCUGGCCCGCCGACCCGGACGUCUCCCUCGCCCGCCUCCGCCUCGCGCACGUCUCCGUCGUGGCGCGCCCCGCCGUCGCCGUCACCAUAUCCGCCGCGCUCAAGGUCCGCGUCCGCAACCCGGACUUCUUCGCGCUCGACUACAACCGCCUCGACGUCGCCAUCGCCUACCGCGGCGCGCCGCUCGGCCGGGUCACGUCCGGCGGCGGGCGGGUCCGGGCGCGCGCUGUGUCGUACGUCGACGCCGACCUGCAGCUCGACGGCAUACGCGUCGUUGAGGACGCGAUCUACCUGGUCGAGGACCUCGCGAGGGGAUCCGUGCCCUUUGAUACCAUCGUCGAGGUCGAGGGCCAUCUCCACUUCUUCUUCCUCAGCAUCCCUGUCAAGGAGUAGGAACUCAGGGAAAGUUCUCCAAGGUUAGCCUGUCUUCGGAUUUUCAUGAAAGCUACCUAUCUCGUGGCAAUGAUAAAGUGCUAGUUUGGCUCCCUAAACCUUGCCAGGUUCUCGCCAGUCAGGGGAGAAUAUCUUGCGUGGUGCAUGUUAAUCCACACAACGAAACCAUAGUACAUCAAGACUGCUAUCCUGAGUGAAAAGCUUAUGGCGUGGAAGGCUGUAAGCUAUCUUGCCUUGCGAAUGGAUCGUUUCUAAGCUUCGCUUAGAGUCGUGGUUGUGUAAAAGUAAGGAACAACUGAACUCUACUGGGUAAUGCGCCUAUUGUAAAGCCGUUAGCACGUCAUGUUUAUAUCAAUCAGUUUACCUAUGAGAAAAUUGCCAUUUGGCAUUGAUGUUACGGUGAUGUUUGGCUCGAUUGCAACAAUGUCACACGGAUUGUCUGGUAUACCAUCGACCCAUCGUCGAUGGAUAGUCCGCGUAUGAUUGUUCCUUGGCAUAUAGGAUUCACGAUGACACUGGAUCUUUGAUUCCCGGUCGUUUGCCUCGGUGAGAGCGUGUUCGCUUGAGUUUA